rnacentral:rRNA from 1 species
AACGAACGCUGGCGGCAGGCCUAACACAUGCAAGUCGAGCGCCCCGCAAGGGGAGCGGCGGACGGGUGAGUAACGCGUGGGAACGUGCCCUUUGCUACGGAAUAGCCCCGGGAAACUGGGAGUAAUACCGUAGUAGCCCUACGGGGGAAAGAUUUAUCGGCAAAGGAUCGGCCCGCGUUGGAUUGGGUAGUUGGAGGGGCAAUGGCCUACCAAGCCGACGAUCCAUAGCUGGUUUGAGAGGAUGAUCAGCCAAACUGGGACUGAGACACGGCCCAGACUCCUACGGGAGGCAGCAGUGGGGAAUCUUAGACAAUGGGCGCAAGCCUGAUCUAGCCAUGCCGCGUGAGCGAUGAAGGCCUUAGGGUUGUAAAGCUCUUUCGUGGGGGAAGAUAAUGACUGUACCCCAAGAAGAAGCCCCGGCUAACUCCGUGCCAGCCGCCGCGGUAAAAC